rnacentral:rRNA from 1 species
AAUUUGGGACAAUGGGGGAAACCCUGAUCCAGCCAUCCCGCGUGUAUGAUGAAGGCCUUCGGGUUGUCAAGUACUUUUGGCAGAGAAGAAAAGGUACCUCCUAAUACGAGGUACUGCUGACGGUAUCUGCAGAAUAAGCACCGGCUAACUACGUUCCCGCAGCCGCGAUAAUACGUAGGGUGCAAGCGCUAAUCGGAAUUACUGGGCGGAAAGCGUGUGUAGGCGGGUCGGAAAGAAAGAUUUGAAAUCCCAGGGCUCAACCUUGGAACUGCAUUUUUAACUGCCGAGCUAGAGUAUGUCAGAGGGGGGUAGAAUUCCACGUGUAGCAGUGAAAUGCGUAGAUAUGUGGAGGAAUACCGAUGGCGAAGGCAGCCCCCUGGGAUAAUACUGACGCUCAGACACGAAAGCGUGGGGAGCAAACA